rnacentral:rRNA from 1 species
AGUGAACGCUGGCGGUAGGCCUAACACAUGCAAGUCGAACGGCAGCACAGUAAGAGCUUGCUCUUACGGGUGGCGAGUGGCGGACGGGUGAGGAAUACAUCGGAAUCUACUUUUUCGUGGGGGAUAACGUAGGGAAACUUACGCUAAUACCGCAUACGACCUACGGGUGAAAGCAGGGGAUCUUCGCACCUUGCGCGAUCGAAUGAGCCGAUGUCGGAUUAGCUAGUUGGCGGGGUAAAGGCCCACCAAGGCGACGAUCCGUAGCUGGUCUGAGAGGAUGAUCAGCCACACUGGAACUGAGACACGGUCCAGACCGCCACGGGAGGGAGCAGUGGGGAAUAUUGGACAAUGGGCGCAAGCUGGAUCCAGCCAUACCGCGUGGGUGAAGAAGGCCUUCGGGUUGUAAAGCCUUUUUGUGGGGGAAGAAAAUCAGCAGGUUAAUACCCCGCUGUUCUGACGGUACCCAAAGAAUAAGCACCGGCUAACUUCGUG